rnacentral:rRNA from 1 species
UACGUAGGGGGCAAGCGUUGUCCGGAUUUAUUGGGCGUAAAGAGCGUGUAGGCGGCUUGGAAGGUCAGCUGUGAAAACUCGAGGCUCAACCUCGAGACGUCGGUUGAAACCACCUGGCUAGAGUCCGGAAGAGGAGAGUGGAAGUUCCCGGUGUAGCGGUGAAAUGCGCAGAUAUCGGGAAGAACACCCGUGGCGAAGGCGGCUCUCUGGGACGGUACUGACGCUGAGACGCGAAAGCGUGGGGAGCGAACAGG